rnacentral:piRNA from 1 species
AAGUUGAACUCUCCUAUGCGAAG